GACUUCUGGGAGGAUGCCAAUGUCCGCUUGUUAGCGUGUGCAGCGGCGUCCUUCCAUCCUUCUGUUAACGUUUCUUGGUAUUCACUUACUGGUUUCGGGCUCAGAUAUUUUACCUUGAGAAAAUUAGAGUGUUUCAGGCAGGCUUGCGCCGGAAUACAUUAGCAUGGAAUAAUAGAAUAGGACUUUAGUCUCCUUUGUUGGUUUGAGGGACUGAAGUAAUGAUUAAUAGGGAUAGUUGGGGGCAUUAGUAUUUAAUUGUCAGAGGUGAAAUUCUCGGAUUUGUUAAAGACUAACUUAUGCGAAAGCAUU
rnacentral:rRNA from 1 species